rnacentral:misc_RNA from 1 species
AACGCACAUUGCGCCCCUUGGUAUUCCGAGGGGCAUGCCUGUUCGAGCGUCAUUUCAACCCUCAAGCUCUGCUUGGUAUUGGGCUACGCCAUCGCGGCAAGCCUUAAAAUUAGUGGCGGUGCCGUCUCGGCUCUAAGCGUAGUAACAAUCUCUCGCUCUGGAGACCUGGCGGUGCUUGCCAGACAACCACCAAUUUUUUUUAUGGUUGACCUCGGAUCAGGUAGGGAUACCCGCUGAACUUAA